UCUUGAACCUCAAGUGGUCUCGUUUCACCCGUGUGGUCUUCACACGGACAGUCGCGAUUACCCCUACGUUGUUGGUGGCUGUUUUCCAAACUGUGGACACACUGACAGGAAUGAAUGACUUGCUGAAUGUUCUGAUGAGUUUGCAGAGUAUGGAAGAUCAUCGGGGGAUUUAUCAUUCUGAUCAUCUGCUGCAUUAACGUAUAUUUUGUGAUCGAUUACGUGAGGAGUCUCCACAUGGUCGUGUUCUAUGCCGUGGCAGCAAUCAUAGCGGUCGCCUAUCUGGCUUUUAUAUGUUACUUGGUGUGGUUUUGUUUGGUAGCGAUGGGUGUCCAGACCUUAGCCUGUGAGUGUGCAAGUCAGUGCGAGCAAGAUGAUGAUCUUGGAAGGUCAGAAGCAGAUGUUCUAUCGGAUAGUACCACUACGCUCAGCAGACAGUAGCACCUUCCAUUGAAGACUGUAUCGAGGGGAGUUAUCUUGCUGACAGAACCGUUUUCAAAUGGGUGUGAGUCAACGUAUUUGCUUCAAAUAAAUGAUUGUCACGAAUCACAAUGAGGAGUUGUAUUGGUACCCGAUUCAGAAGACGAUGAUGAUGAGAUUUGAUUUUAACGACAAGCAAAAGUCAUAAUUUCCACUUGACUUCUAUCUGACCACUGGAACCGAAGAUGCAAUCAUGGGAUCAGGGGGUGAAACCAAUGCCACCCUGUUAUGAUGCCAAUGAUGCCAGUGGGCAGUGCUAGUGACGUUGAAUUUCUGAGGUGUUUUCUCUGCGCUUAGUUGUGUUAUUGGAGGCUAACCUGCCUCCAGCUGGGCCCAAGUCAGAUGUAUAUUAAAAUAUUUAAUGAAUUGAUCCCUUUCACAGCAGACUGAAAGGGGCGUCCUGGGAAAUUCAAGGUGCCUCACCUGUGGUAGGGAGUCACCUGAUUGUCAGGCUACCGAAGGGUGGCGAGCACGUGUGUUCACACAGAGAGACCCUGGACCAUGUAAAUGUCAGUAAGCUUCUCAGCGUCACUCGGAAUGGUUUCAUCUUACAGCUCCCAG